rnacentral:rRNA from 1 species
CCUACGGGUGGCUGCAGUGGGGAAUAUUGCACAAUGGGGGGAACCCUGAUGCAGCGACGCCGCGUGGGUGAGGAAGUACUUCGGUAUGUAAAGCCCUAUCAGCAGGGGAGCAAAUGACGGUACCUGACUAAGCAGCCCCGGCUAACUACGUGCCAGCAGCCGCGGUAAUCCGUAGGGGGCAAGCGUUAUCCGGAUUUACUGGGUGGAAGGGGAGCGUAGACGGCGUGCCAAGUCUGAUGUGAAAGGCCGGGGCUCAACCCCGGGGCUGCAUUGGAAACUGGCAUGCUGGAGUGCCGGAGGGGCAAGCGGAAUUCGUAGUGUAGCGGUGAAAUGCGUAGAGAUUAGGAGGAACACCGGUGGCGAAGGCGGCUUGCGGGACGGUAACUGACGUUGAGGCUCGAAAGCGUGGGGAGCAAACAGGAUUAGAUACCCCAGUAGUC